rnacentral:lncRNA from 1 species
UGUGGUGUCGCUGGCUGGUAAUCUGGAAAUGGCCUGUUUAUUUUCACAGAUCUGUAGAAGAGACUCAAUAGUUGUAAAGGAUGGAAGGGUGCAAAGCAGCUUGGAACUCACAGCAAAGGAAACCGGCACAAAAAAUUUAGAUAAAACAGCUUGUGACCAUGGGAUCUGCUCCUUGUGUCUACUGAACAGAGGUCUCUAAGUCCACUGCUGACAGGAAAAUCUUCAGUGGUUCCAGAGACAAGCUGCUGGAAAUCCUGCACAUUUAUCUUCUAGAAGGAAGUAAACUGAUUAGGAUAGUGGUCCCUUCAGAAAGAACCUCCCCUAAAACUUUAAAGGACUCCAAAUUAAGCCAUGUUCAUAUCUGGGACCCUAAAGUGGCUCAUAAAAGUUAGGGACCGCCUGCUUAAUGUUAGGUGAUUGCAAAAGCUUUAAGAUUCAAAGGGGGGAGUGAAGGUGGGGAAGGUGAUGGUGAAUAAAUUGUGAGAGCCUCCCA